rnacentral:tRNA from 1 species
GCGUUCUUAGUCUAAUGGAUAAAACAACACCCUCCGACGGUGUAGUUAUGCGUUCGAGUCGCAUAGGGCGCACCA